GACGAACGCUGGCGGCGUGCCUAAUACAUGCAGGUAGAACGCUGAAGGAGGAGCUUGCUUCUCCGGAUGAGUUGCGAACGGGUGAGUAACGCGUAGGUAACCUGCCUGGUAGCGGGGGAUAACUAUUGGAAACGAUAGCUAAUACCGCAUAACAGUAGAUGUUGCAUGACAUUUGCUUAAAAGGUGCAAUUGCAUCACUACCAGAUGGACCUGCGUUGUAUUAGCUAGUUGGUGAGGUAACGGCUCACCAAGGCGACGAUACAUAGCCGACCUGAGAGGGUGAUCGGCCACACUGGGACUGAGACGCGGCCCAGACUCCUACGGGAGGGAGCAGUAGGGAAUCGUCGGCAAUGGACGGAAGUCUGACCGAGCAACGCCGCGUGAGUGAAGAAGGUCUUCGGAUCGUAAAGCUCUGUUGUUAGAGAAGAACAGCGCAUAGAGUAACUGCUAUGCGUGUGACGGUAUCUAACCAGAAAGCCACGGCUAACUACGUG
rnacentral:rRNA from 1 species